rnacentral:rRNA from 1 species
UACGGAGGGUGCAAACGUUGUCCGGAAUCACUGGGCGUAAAGCGCAUGUAGGUGGCUUGAUAAGUGGAUGAUUAAAGACCGAUGCUCAACAUCGGAGCUGUUGUCCAAACUGUCUGGCUUGAGAAUGACAGGGGUAAGCGGAACUUUAGGUGUAGGAGUGAAAUCCGUAGAUAUCUAAAGGAACACCAAUGGCGAAGGCAGCUUACUGGGUCUUUUCUGACACUGAGAUGCGAAAGCGUGGGGAGCGAACGGG